UAAUACAGAGGGUGCUAACGUUGUUCGGAAUCACUGGGCAUAAAGCGCACGUAGGCGGCUUGGUAAGUGCGGUGUGAAAGCCCCCGGCCUAACCGGGGAACUGCAUCGCAGACUGCCAGGCUCGAGAGCGGGAGGGGAGACUGGAACUCCUGGUGGAGCGGUGAAAUGCGUAGAUAUCAGGAGGAACACCGGUGGUGAAAACGAGUCUCUGGUCCGCUUCUGACGCUCAGGUGCGAAAGCUAGGGGAGCAAACGGGAUUAGAUACCCCGGUAGUCCUAGCCGUAAACGAUGGGCACUAGCUAGAGGUGACCCUGCGUCGUCUCUGGUGUAGCAAAUGUGUUAAGUGCCCCGCCUGGGGAGUAUGGUCGCAAGGCUG
rnacentral:rRNA from 1 species